GACGAACGCUGGCGGCGUGCCUAAUACAUGCAAGUAGGACGCAGUUGCGAACGGGAGAGUAACGCGUUGGUAACUGCCUAUUAGAGGGGGCUAACUAUUGGAAACGAUAGCUAAUACCGCAUCCUAGUCGAUGGACCUGCGUUGUAUUAGCUAGUAGGUAGGGUAAUGGCCUACCUAGGCAACGAAACAUAGCCGCCCUGAUAGGGGGAUCGGCCACACUGGGACGUAGACACGGGCCAGACUCCUACGGGAGGCAGCAGUAGGGGAUCUUCGGCAAUUGGGGGAACCCUGACCGAGCAACGCCGCGUGAAUGAAGAAGGGUUUCGGAUCGUAAAGCUCUGUUGUGAAGGAAGCGGUACUUAACCAGAAAGGGACGGCUAACUACGUGCCAGCAGCCGCGGUAAUUC
rnacentral:rRNA from 1 species